rnacentral:tRNA from 1 species
UGGCUGAGCGGUAAAGCACUUGGCUUCCAAACCAGGGGUUCCGGGUUCGAACCCUGG